rnacentral:rRNA from 1 species
UGCAAGUCGAGCGGUAGGCUCCUUCGGGAGUACACGAGCGGCGAACGGGUGAGUAACACGUGAGCAACCUGCCCUUCUCAUCGGAAUAAGCGUUGGAAACGACGUCUAAUGCCGAAUACACCUCAGAAGGCAUCUUCAGAGGUGGAAAGCUCCGGCGGAGAAGGAUGGGCUCGCGGCCUAUCAGCUUGUUGGUGGGGUAACGGCCCACCAAGGCGACGACGGGUAGCCGGCCUGAGAGGGUGACCGGCCACACUGGGACUGAGACACGGCCCAGACUCCUACGGGAGGCAGCAGUGGGGAAUAUUGGACAAUGGGCGAAAGCCUGAUCCACAACGCCGCGUGAGGGAUGACGGCCUUCGGGUUGUAAACCUCUUUCAGCACCGACGAACGAAAGUGACGUAGGUGCAGAAGAAGGACCGGCCAACUACGUGCCAGCAGCCGCGGUAAUACUAGGGUCCGAGCGUUGUCCGGAAUUAUUGGGCGUAAAGGGCUCGUAGGCGGUUUGUCGCGUCGGGAGUGAAAACUCAGGGCUCAACCCUGAGCGUGCUUCCGAUACGGGCAGACUAGAGGUAUGCAGGGGAGAACGGAAUUCCUGGUGUAGCGGUGGAAUGCGCAGAUAUCAAGAGGAACACCGGUGGCGAAGGCGGUUCUCUGGGCAUUACCUGACGCUGAGGAGCGAAAGCAUGGGGAGCGAACAGGAUUAGAUACCCUGGUAGUCCAUGCCGUAAACGUUGGGCGCUAGGUGUGGGGACCUUCCACGGUCUCCGUGCCGCAGCUAACGCAUUAAGCGCCCCGCCUGGGGAGUACGGCCGCAAGGCUAAAACUCAAAGGAAUUGACGGGGGCCCGCACAAGCGGCGGAGCAUGUGAUUAAUUCGAUGCAACGCGAAGAACCUUACCUGGUUUGACAUAUACCGGAAAGCUGCAGAGAUGUAGCCCCCCUUUGGUCGUAUACAGGUGGUGCAUGCUGUGUCAGUGUGUCGUAGAUGUUGGGUUAAGUCCCCAACGAGCGCAACCCUCUCUAUGUUGCCAGCAGUCAUGGUGGGGACUCAUAGGAGACUGCCGGGGUCAACUCGGAGGAAGGUGGGGAUGACGUCAAGUUUCAUCCCCUAUGUCCAGGGUUCAAGCAUGUACAAUGCCGGUACAAAGGGCUGGAAACCGCGAGGUGGAGGAAUCCCAAAAACCGGUUCAUUGGAUUGGGUUGCAACUCACCCCAGAAGUGAGUCCUAGUAAUCAAUCAGCACGCUCGGUGAAUACGUUCCCGGGCUUUGUACCCCCCCGUCAACUCUGAAAUGGCAACCCCGAAGCUCGGUGGCCCAACCCUUGGAGGAGCCUCAAGUGGCGA